rnacentral:rRNA from 1 species
UCCAGAGUUUGAUCCUGGCUCAGGAUGAACGCUGGCGGCGUGCCUAAUACAUGCAAGUCGAGCGAACAGACAAGGAGCUUGCUCCUUUGACGUUAGCGGCGGACGGGUGAGUAACACGUGGGUAACCUACCUAUAAGACUGGGAUAACUUCGGGAAACCGGAGCUAAUACCGGAUAAUAUUUCGAACCGCAUGGUUCGAUAGUGAAAGAUGGUUUUGCUAUCACUUAUAGAUGGACCCGCGCCGUAUUAGCUAGUUGGUAAGGUAACGGCUUACCAAGGCGACGAUACGUAGCCGACCUGAGAGGGUGAUCGGCCACACUGGAACUGAGACACGGUCCAGACUCCUACGGGAGGCAGCAGUAGGGAAUCUUCCGCAAUGGGCGAAAGCCUGACGGAGCAACGCCGCGUGAGUGAUGAAGGUCUUCGGAUCGUAAAACUCUGUUAUUAGGGAAGAACAUACGUGUAAGUAACUAUGCACGUCUUGACGGUACCUAAUCAGAAAGCCACGGCUAACUACGUGCCAGCAGCCGCGGUAAUACGUAGGUGGCAAGCGUUAUCCGGAAUUAUUGGGCGUAAAGCGCGCGUAGGCGGUUUUUUAAGUCUGAUGUGAAAGCCCACGGCUCAACCGUGGAGGGUCAUUGGAAACUGGAAAACUUGAGUGCAGAAGAGGAAAGUGGAAUUCCAUGUGUAGCGGUGAAAUGCGCAGAGAUAUGGAGGAACACCAGUGGCGAAGGCGACUUUCUGGUCUGUAACUGACGCUGAUGUGCGAAAGCGUGGGGAUCAAACAGGAUUAGAUACCCUGGUAGUCCACGCCGUAAACGAUGAGUGCUAAGUGUUAGGGGGUUUCCGCCCCUUAGUGCUGCAGCUAACGCAUUAAGCACUCCGCCUGGGGAGUACGACCGCAAGGUUGAAACUCAAAGGAAUUGACGGGGACCCGCACAAGCGGUGGAGCAUGUGGUUUAAUUCGAAGCAACGCGAAGAACCUUACCAAAUCUUGACAUCCUUUGACAACUCUAGAGAUAGAGCCUUCCCCUUCGGGGGACAAAGUGACAGGUGGUGCAUGGUUGUCGUCAGCUCGUGUCGUGAGAUGUUGGGUUAAGUCCCGCAACGAGCGCAACCCUUAAGCUUAGUUGCCAUCAUUAAGUUGGGCACUCUAAGUUGACUGCCGGUGACAAACCGGAGGAAGGUGGGGAUGACGUCAAAUCAUCAUGCCCCUUAUGAUUUGGGCUACACACGUGCUACAAUGGACAAUACAAAGGGCAGCGAAACCGCGAGGUCAAGCAAAUCCCAUAAAGUUGUUCUCAGUUCGGAUUGUAGUCUGCAACUCGACUACAUGAAGCUGGAAUCGCUAGUAAUCGUAGAUCAGCAUGCUACGGUGAAUACGUUCCCGGGUCUUGUACACACCGCCCGUCACACCACGAGAGUUUGUAACACCCGAAGCCGGUGGAGUAACCAUUUGGAGCUAGCCGUCGAAGGUGGGACAAAUGAUUGGGGUGAAGUCGUAACAAGGGUAACCGA